AUACUAGGGGGCAAGCGUUAUCCGGAUUUACUGGGUGUAAAGGGUGCGUAGGUGGUAUGGCAAGUCAGAAGUGAAAACCCGGGGCUCAACCCCGUGGAUUGCUUUUGAAACUGUCAAACUGGAGUACCGGAGAGGUAAGCGGAAUUCCUAGUGUAGCGGUGAAAUGCGUAGAUAUUAGGAGGAACACCAGUGGCGAAGGCGGCUUACUGGACGGUAACUGACACUGAGGCACGAAAGCGUGGGGAGC
rnacentral:rRNA from 1 species